rfam:Thioclava atlantica strain 13D2W-2 contig6, whole genome shotgun sequence.
AUCCGAGAAAUGCGGAUUGUAAUUGAUGAAGGUGAACCCCCGCGCCUGGUCGAUCGUGUGGAACAAGGGGUUCCAGUCGAACAGGACCAGCAUCUUGUGCGGCAGGUUGUUGGCGAGGAACAUCUUGCCCGAGGCGAUCAUGUUCGCGCGGCUG